rnacentral:tRNA from 1 species
UGCGGAGUAGAGCAGUUAGGUAGCUCGUCGGGCUCAUAACCCGAAGGUCAGUAGUUCAAAUCUACUCUCCGCUA